CUUCGCCAAACCGCCAGCACUCCUCCUCCUCGCGCGCUCUCUCUCUCCUCGCGCUGUCUCUCUCGUCCCUCUUCUUCUUCGCGCGAUGCCACUGCACGCGCAGCACCGCCGAGACCCAGCCACCACGCCACACUGCCGUCGCUUCUCGCUGACCGCCGCUGCUGCUCGCCGUUCACCGGAGCCGACGUCCCACCUCUACCGGAAUUUUCGUCCUCCCUGCUCCUAGUAGCAGAGAUUAAGGAAGAUAAAGGAUAUUACAAGCCUCCCCCGGCUAUCAAGGUUAUUAAGCAGGAAUCCAGGUACCGAUGGUGAUAACGGGAUGGCGUAGCAGUGAGGAUUUAAUUAAUAUCUAGAUUAUCUAGACUCUCAUGGUUUUAAUUUAAGUUUAUGUCAAAACUCUGAUUAGUAACUAAGUUUCUAUUAAUCAAGACUAAUGUUGGAUCUAUAUUAUGCUUCAUGUUAUAAAUGUUUAAGUUUAUGAUUU